rnacentral:rRNA from 1 species
UAGGGAAUCUUCCACAAUGGGCGCAAGCCUGAUGGAGCAACACCGCGUGAGUGAAGAAGGUUUUCGGAUCGUAAAGCUCUGUUGUUGGUGAAGAAGGAUAGAGGCAGUAACUGGUCUUUAUUUGACGGUAAUCAACCAGAAAGUCACGGCUAACUACGUGCCAGCAGCCGCGGUAAUACGUAGGUG